rnacentral:rRNA from 1 species
GACGAACGCUGGCGGCGUGCUUAACACAUGCAAGUCGAACGGAAAGGCCCUGCUUUUGUGGGGUGCUCGAGUGGCGAAUGGGUGAGUAACACGUGAGUAACCUGCCCUUGACUUUGGGAUAACUUCAGGAAACUGGGGCUAAUACCGGAUAGGGGCUCCUGCUGCAUGGUGGGGGUUGGAAAGUUUCGGCGGUUGGGGAUGGACUCGCGGCUUAUCAGCUUGUUGGUGGGGUAGUGGCUUACCAAGGCUUUGACGGGUAGCCGGCCUGAGAGGGUGACCGGCCACAUUGGGACUGAGAUACGGCCCAGACUCCUACGGGAGGCAGCAGUGGGGAAUAUUGCACAAUGGGCGGAAGCCUGAUGCAGCAACGCCGCGUGCGGGAUGACGGCCUUCGGGUUGUAAACCGCUUUCGCCUGUGACGAAGCGUGAGUGACGGUAAUGGGUAAAGAAGCACCGGCUAACUACGUG